GAUGAACGCUGGCGGCGUGCUUAACACAUGCAAGUCGAACGGACAGGCCCUGCUCUUGUUGCGUUCACGUGUGGCGCACGGGUGUGAGACACGUGUGUAUAAUGCCCUUGUAUUUGUGAUAUCUUCACGGAAAUGGGGCUCAUAUCGCGUAUAAUCUAUUGCAGCGUGUUGGGGGUUGGAAAGUUACGGUGGUUGUGGAUCGACUCGAUGAUUAUCAGCUUGUUGGUGGGGUAGUGGCUUACAAAGGCUUUGACGGGUAGCCGGCCUGAGAGGGUGACCGGCCACAUGGGUACUACGAUACGGCCCAGAAGCCUACGUGAGGCAGCAGUGGGGAAUAUUGCACAAUGGGCGGAAGCCUGAUGCAGCAACGCCGCGUUCGGGAUGACGGCCUUCGGGUUAUAAACCGCUUUCGCCUGUGACGAAGCGUGAGUGACGGUAAUGGGUAAAGAAGCACCGGCUAACUACGUG
rnacentral:rRNA from 1 species